UACGUAGGGACCAAGCGUUGUCCGGAAUCAUUGGGCGUAAAGAGCGUGUAGGCGGCUUGUUAAGUCUUGCGUGAAAUCUCGGGGCUCAACCCCGAGCGGUCGUGAGAAACUGGCAGGCUAGAGUGCGGGAGAGGAGAGUGGAAUUCCUGGUGUAGCGGUGAAAUGCGCAGAUAUCAGGAGGAACACCAAUGGCGAAGGCAGCUCACUGGGACGAUACUGACGCUGAGACGCGAAAGCGUGGGGAGCAAACAGG
rnacentral:rRNA from 1 species